rnacentral:lncRNA from 1 species
UUCAAUCUGUACGUUUUCAUGGUAUCAGAGCAGGAUGAUCCUCGGAUUCUUCUCCGUUACUUGUUAUCGGUCGUGUUGGAAGUUUUAUUGAAGGUUUUUUUUAUAUUUGUGAGAGAUUCUGUUUACCGAGAGAACGAUGUGUAUUUAACGUAUAAUCGGAACUUUUACUGCUGUUUAAUGCUUCGAUCUUCACUCAGUGGAUGUUUUGGGUGAUUUUCCGACAUCCCUGACCUUUUUCCGAUGACUUUCCAGAUUUUUCGAUCUUCACUCAGUGGAUGUUUUGGGUGAUUUUCCGACAUCCCUGACCUUUUUCCAGUGACAUUUCCAGAUUUUAGGGUUUCUGGUGGUUGAACCUAGGGUUUUACUGCUAUCCGAU